rnacentral:misc_RNA from 1 species
AAGGCAGCUGUAUUGUAAAAUAUGGUUGAAUUGUCUUCCUUUUAAAAAUAAAGACAAAUUAAGAUGAAUUUUAUUAAUUCUUCUCUAUAUUUUUAUUUUGAUGAAAAUUUUUUUAAGCCAAAGUAAAUUUUUAGUUUAAACUUUAGAAAAAUAAAUCUUUGGUAAGUAUUUAGUGUUAUAUAGUUUAGUAUUGAAUUAAGCGUUGUUAAUAGUAAAUCAUAAUUUUAAAUUUUGAAGUGAAAGGCUUUUAUAUUGCUAGAUGUGCAUUUUAAAUCUAAUAUAACGGCAAUUGGUUAUUUUAAAAUUGAGAUUAUAUUCUAAAUAUUGCUUAAUAU